rnacentral:rRNA from 1 species
GACGAACGCUGGCGGCGUGCUUAACACAUGCAAGUCGAACGGAAAGGCCCUGCUUUUGUGGGGUGCUCGAGUGGCGAACGGGUGAGUAACACGUGAGUAACCUGUCCUUGACUUUGGGAUAACUUCAGGAAACUGGGGCUAAUACCGGAUAGGAGCUCCUGCUGCAUGGUGGGGGUUGGAAAGUUUCGGCGGUUGGGGAUGGACUCGCGGCUUAUCAGCUUGUUGGUGGGGUAGUGGCUUACCAAGGCUUUGACGGGUAGCCGGCCUGAGCGGUUGACCGGCCACAUUGGGACUGAGAUACGGCCCAGACUCCUACGGGAGGCAGCAGUGGGGAAUAUUGCACAAUGGGCGGAAGCCUGAUGCAGCAACGCCGCGUGCGGGAUGACGGCCUUCGGGUUGUAAACCGCUUUCGCCUGUGACGAAGCGUGAGUGACGGUAAUGGGUAAAGAAGCACCGGCUAACUACGUG